GACGGAGGGUGCAAGCGUUAUUCGGAAUUAUUGGGCGUAAAGAGCGUGUAGGCGGCCGGUUAAGUCAGGUGUGAAAGCCCGGGGCUCAACCUCGGAAGUGCACUUGAUACUGGUCGGCUUGAGUUCGGGAGAGGGAAGCGGAAUUCCUGGUGUAGAGGUGAAAUUCGUAGAUAUCAGGAGGAACAUCGGUGGCGAAGGCGGCUUCCUGGACCGAAACUGACGCUGAGACGCGAAAGCGUGGGGAGCAAACAGG
rnacentral:rRNA from 1 species